rnacentral:rRNA from 1 species
UGAGGAAUAUUGGUCAAUGGACGCAAGUCUGAACCAGCCAUGCCGCGUGGAGGAUGACGGUCCUCUGGAUUGUAAACUUCUUUUAUUUGGGAAGAAAACCUCUGAUUAUUCGGAGCUUGACGGUACCAGAUGAAUAAGCACCGGCUAACUCCGUGCCAGCAGCCGCGGUAAUACGGAGGGUGCAAGCGUUAUCCGGAUUCACUGGGUUUAAAGGGUGCGUAGGCGGAUAGGUAAGUCCGUGGUGAAAUCUCUCGACUUAAUCGGGAAACUGCCAUGGAUACUAUUUAUCUUGAAAGUUGUGGAGGUUAACGGAAUAUGUCAUGUAGCGGUGAAAUGCUUAGAUAUGACAUGGAACACCAAUUGCGAAGGCAGUUAACUACACAAAUAUUGACGCUGAUGCACGAAAGCGUGGGGAUCAAACA